rnacentral:rRNA from 1 species
AGAGUUUGAUCCUGGCUCAGGACGAACGCUGGCGGCGUGCCUAAUACAUGCAAGUCGAACGAAACUUUCUUACACCGAAUGCUUGCAUUCACCGUAAGAAGUUGAGUGGCGGACGGGUGAGUAACACGUGGGUAACCUGCCUAAAAGAAGGGGAUAACACUUGGAAACAGGUGCUAAUACCGUAUAUCUCUAAGGAUCGCAUGAUCCUUAGAUGAAAGAUGGUUCUGCUAUCGCUUUUAGAUGGACCCGCGGCGUAUUAACUAGUUGGUGGGGUAACGGCCUACCAAGGUGAUGAUACGUAGCCGAACUGAGAGGUUGAUCGGCCACAUUGGGACUGAGACACGGCCCAAACUCCUACGGGAGGCAGCAGUAGGGAAUCUUCCACAAUGGACGCAAGUCUGAUGGAGCAACGCCGCGUGAGUGAAGAAGGUCUUCGGAUCGUAAAACUCUGUUGUUAGAGAAGAACACGAGUGAGAGUAACUGUUCAUUCGAUGACGGUAUCUAACCAGCAAGUCACGGCUAACUACGUGCCAGCAGCCGCGGU